GGUUAAGCGACUAAGCGUACACGGUGGAUGCCCUGGCAGUCAGAGGCGAUGAAGGACGUGCUAAUCUGCGAUAAGCGUCGGUAAGGUGAUAUGAACCGUUAUAACCGGCGAUUUCCGAAUGGGGAAACCCAGUGUGUUUCGACACACUAUCAUUAACUGAAUCCAUAGGUUAAUGAGGCGAACCGGGGGAACUGAAACAUCUAAGUACCCCGAGGAAAAGAAAUCAACCGAGAUUCCCCCAGUAGCGGCGAGCGAACGGGGAGCAGCCCAGAGCCUGAAUCAGUGUGUGUGUUAGUGGAAGCGUCUGGAAAGGCGCGCGAUACAGGGUGACAGCCCCGUACACAAAAAUGCACAUGCUGUGAGCUCGAUGAGUAGGGCGGGACACGUGGUAUCCUGUCUGAAUAUGGGGGGACCAUCCUCCAAGGCUAAAUACUCCUGACUGACCGAUAGUGAACCAGUACCGUGAGGGAAAGGCGAAAAGAACCCCGGCGAGGGGAGUGAAAAAGAACCUGAAACCGUGUACGUACAAGCAGUGGGAGCACGCUUAGGCGUGUGACUGCGUACCUUUUGUAUAAUGGGUCAGCGACUUAUAUUCUGUAGCAAGGUUAACCGAAUAGGGGAGCCGAAGGGAAACCGAGUCUUAACUGGGCGUUAAGUUGCAGGGUAUAGACCCGAAACCCGGUGAUCUAGCCAUGGGCAGGUUGAAGGUUGGGUAACACUAACUGGAGGACCGAACCGACUAAUGUUGAAAAAUUAGCGGAUGACUUGUGGCUGGGGGUGAAAGGCCAAUCAAACCGGGAGAUAGCUGGUUCUCCCCGAAAGCUAUUUAGGUAGCGCCUCGUGAAUUCAUCUCCGGGGGUAGAGCACUGUUUCGGCAAGGGGGUCAUCCCGACUUACCAACCCGAUGCAAACUGCGAAUACCGGAGAAUGUUAUCACGGGAGACACACGGCGGGUGCUAACGUCCGUCGUGAAGAGGGAAACAACCCAGACCGCCAGCUAAGGUCCCAAAGUCAUGGUUAAGUGGGAAACGAUGUGGGAAGGCCCAGACAGCCAGGAUGUUGGCUUAGAAGCAGCCAUCAUUUAAAGAAAGCGUAAUAGCUCACUGGUCGAGUCGGCCUGCGCGGAAGAUGUAACGGGGCUAAACCAUGCACCGAAGCUGCGGCAGCGACGCUUAUGCGUUGUUGGGUAGGGGAGCGUUCUGUAAGCCUGUGAAGGUGUGCUGUGAGGCAUGCUGGAGGUAUCAGAAGUGCGAAUGCUGACAUAAGUAACGAUAAAGCGGGUGAAAAGCCCGCUCGCCGGAAGACCAAGGGUUCCUGUCCAACGUUAAUCGGGGCAGGGUGAGUCGACCCCUAAGGCGAGGCCGAAAGGCGUAGUCGAUGGGAAACAGGUUAAUAUUCCUGUACUUGGUGUUACUGCGAAGGGGGGACGGAGAAGGCUAUGUUGGCCGGGCGACGGUUGUCCCGGUUUAAGCGUGUAGGCUGGUUUUCCAGGCAAAUCCGGAAAAUCAAGGCUGAGGCGUGAUGACGAGGCACUACGGUGCUGAAGCAACAAAUGCCCUGCUUCCAGGAAAAGCCUCUAAGCAUCAGGUAACAUCAAAUCGUACCCCAAACCGACACAGGUGGUCAGGUAGAGAAUACCAAGGCGCUUGAGAGAACUCGGGUGAAGGAACUAGGCAAAAUGGUGCCGUAACUUCGGGAGAAGGCACGCUGAUAUGUAGGUGAAGUCCCUCGCGGAUGGAGCUGAAAUCAGUCGAAGAUACCAGCUGGCUGCAACUGUUUAUUAAAAACACAGCACUGUGCAAACACGAAAGUGGACGUAUACGGUGUGACGCCUGCCCGGUGCCGGAAGGUUAAUUGAUGGGGUCAGCGCAAGCGAAGCUCUUGAUCGAAGCCCCGGUAAACGGCGGCCGUAACUAUAACGGUCCUAAGGUAGCGAAAUUCCUUGUCGGGUAAGUUCCGACCUGCACGAAUGGCGUAAUGAUGGCCAGGCUGUCUCCACCCGAGACUCAGUGAAAUUGAACUCGCUGUGAAGAUGCAGUGUACCCGCGGCAAGACGGAAAGACCCCGUGAACCUUUACUAUAGCUUGACACUGAACAUUGAGCCUUGAUGUGUAGGAUAGGUGGGAGGCUUGGAAGUGUGGACGCCAGUCUGCAUGGAGCCGACCUUGAAAUACCACCCUU
rnacentral:rRNA from 1 species